rnacentral:rRNA from 1 species
UACGAAGGGUGCGAGCGUUAUUCGGAAUGACUGGGCGUAAAGAGCGUGAAGGCGGCUUCUUAAGUUACCUGUUAAAGAGCUCGGCUUAACUGAGCAGAUGCUGGUAAUACUGGGACGCUAGAGUGCAGGAGAGAAAGGUAGAAUUCUCGGAGUAGCGGUAAAAUGCGUAGAUCUCGAGAGGAAUACCGGUUGCGAAGGCGGCCUUUUGGCCUGUUACUGACGCUCAAGCGCGAAAGCGUGGGGAGCAAACAGGAUUAGAUACCCUGGUAGUCCACGCUGUAAACGAUGAUCACUAGAUGUGGGCUUUGCUUAGCAAGGUCUGUGUCGAAGCUAACGCGUUAAGUGAUCCGCCUGAGUAGUACGGUCGCAAGAUUAAA